rnacentral:rRNA from 1 species
CUUAUCUUAGUAAUAAGAGUGACGGGCGAUGUGUACAUAUUUUAGAGCUAAAAUCAAAAUUAUAAUCUUUUAAUUUUUACUAUCAAAUCCACCUUCAUUAAUAUAUUUAAAAAUUAAAUUCGUUUAAAUAAAUUUAUUGUAACCCAUCUCUUCUUAAAUAUAAGCUACACCUUGAUCUGAUAUAAUUUUUAUUAUAAAUUAUUGAAAAUUAUUAUUCUAAUAAAAUAUUCUGAUAACGACGGUAUAUAAACUGAAAACAAAUUUAAGUAAGGUACAUCGUGGAUUAUCAAUUACAGGACAGGUUCCUCUGAAUAGACUAAAAUACCGCCAAAUUUUUUAAGUUUCAAGAACAUAACUAAUACUACUUAAGUGUUUUUAUUUACAUUUUAAAUAAUA